rnacentral:lncRNA from 1 species
AACAGGAUCAUUGGCAAAGAAAUAAAUACUGCUGGUUAUUCUCUGUGCAAGUAUGCAGCUAACCUAGAAGAUGAGAAUGAAAGCAGAAAAAAACACCGGGAAGUAUUUGAAGAAGUUUUCUGCUUGCUUUUUUCCCCAUUUGUGAUGCCCGUAGACAAGGAGGCUGCAGUGGCCUGCUCCAUCACUUGCAGACGUUUCAAGAAUGCUAAGUGCAUGGGCCAGUCGUGGCAGAUGAGUUAUAUUAAGCUGCAGUAGGUAUUUGCAUACUCAGAGUGCAGUUAUUAGGCAGUAAUCACACAGUGAUUAUACAAAUUUAUUCACUAUGAUCAGCUAACAGUUGUCAGGCAUGGGUCAAGGAUUUAGAGAGAACAGGCAACCGUGUAAUAAUUGUACAAUGACUGUGUAAAAGGAAGCCUUCUAACUGUGGUGCAUUCUCACAGUCCAGCAGGAUCCUGGCAUGUCUCUCCUAAGAGCUCUAUAGGGGUGUGCCAAGAGCGUAACACUGCUGGGAGAAGACACUGAACCUGAGGAGACCAAAGUGAUAGAGGAUGCAGGGCGAACAGCAACACAUCCCUUAGAAAACUGCAAGAGGAGGAUGGGAAGGUUCAGAUCAACUGUCUGGCAUCAGAGUGAAUCUCCUGGCAGGUUUAGGCAAUGCAUAGACCACAAGCGAGAAGAAGCAGCAGCUACUACAGGAAAGCUAAGUUACAGAAGCAAACUACGUCCAUUUCAGAAGGAAGUGGUUCUGUAGAUAAACCUCCUGGCUUCACAGGCUUCCCUUCAUCACACUAUCACUUAGAACAAAAACAAUUUAAAAAGAAAAAAGGAGAAGGACACAGAGCCUAA